rnacentral:rRNA from 1 species
GACGAACGCUGGCGGCGUGCUUAACACAUGCCAGUCGAACGGAAAGGCCCUGCUUUUCGGGGGUGCUCGAGUGGCGAACGGGUGAGUAACACGUGGGUAACCUGCCCUUGACUUUGGGAUAACUUUGGGAAACUGGGUCUAAUACCGGAUAGGAGCACCGGUUGAAUGGUGGGGGGUGAAAGUUUUUGGGGGUUGGGGAUGGACUCGCGGCUUAUCAGCUUGUUGGUGGGGUAGUGGUUUACCAAGGCGUUGACGGGUAGCCGGCCUGAGAGGGUGACCGGCCACAUUGGGACUGAGAUACGGCCCAGACUCCUACGGGAGGCAGCAGUGGGGAAUAUUGCACAAUGGGCGGAAGCCUGAUGCAGCAACGCCGCGUGCGGGAUGACGGCCUUCGGGUUGUAAACCGCUUUCGCCUGUGACGAAGCGUAAGUGACGGUAAUUGGUAAAGAAGCACCGGCUAACUACGUG